UUCAUCAUUUCUCUCAGGGUUUUCAUUAAAUCCCAAAUGAGAAUGAGAAUGAGAAUUUUGCAAGCCGAUUACUCGAGCAUCAAUAGCUUGUCCAACAACAUAUUUAACAGAAGCUGGCCAAGAUUGGCACACAGCAGAGUGCUGCAGCUCUGUAAUCUUGAUGAGCGACACGUCUGGCUGGCGGCAACGCGACUUUAUAAGAGCCGCGCGCCCGUUGGGCCAGUACAGAAAACUAGUUCCCAAAAUGCGUAGUCUGUGCUUCAAGAUCUUACUAAUGGCCAUGCUGUUGGCGUUGGUUAUGUACCAGAAACACAUCGCGAGCGUUGCCGAUGCCGAGCAAUUUGAGAGCGAUUGCCGCUGCCAAAGGCGGGGCUAAGCUGACAGCGUAAUUGAGACGAAAAUACACACAUCAAUAAACAAAAUGCAGGUCGAUGUAUACACAAAA